CCUACGGGUGGCAGCAGUGAGGAAUAUUGGUCAAUGGACGAGAGUCUGAACCAGCCAAGUAGCGUGAAGUCUUCCUUCCCUCUUUUUUUUCCCCUUCUUUUCUCUUUUCCUCCCCUUUUCCACGUGUGGGAUUUUGUAUGUACCAUAUGAAUAAGGAUCGGCUAACUCCUUGCCAGCCGCCGCGGUAAUACUUAUGCUCCUCUCGUUAUCCUGAUUUAUUGGGGGGAAAGGGAGCGUAGGUGGAUUGUUAAGUCAGUUGUGAAAGUUUGCGGCUCAACCGUAAAAUUGAAGUUGAAACGGGCAGUCUUGAGUACAGUAGAGGUGGGCGGAAUUCGUGGGGGAGAGGGGAAAGGAUUAGAGAUCACGAAGAACUCCGAUUGCGAAGGCAGCUCACUGGACUGAAAAGGAAACUGAGGCUCGAAAGUGGGGGGAGAAAAAAGGAGGAGAGAAAAAGGGAGGC
rnacentral:rRNA from 1 species